UACAGAGGGUGCAAGCGUUAAUCGGAAUUACUGGGCGUAAAGGGCGCGUAGGUGGAUCCAUAAGUCAAAGGUGAAAUCCCUAGGCUCAACCUAGGACUGGCCUGUGAUACUGUGUGUCUAGAGUACAAGAGAGGAGAGUGGAAUUUCCGGUGUAGCGGUGAAAUGCGUAGAUAUCGGAAGGAACACCAGUGGCGAAGGCGACUCUCUGGCUUGAUACUGACACUGAGGCGCGAAAGCAUGGGUAGCGAACAGG
rnacentral:rRNA from 1 species